GUUACCUUAAGCAUAUCAGUUACUUAAACGUGUUUGUUUUAACUAACUAUAGGGUAGGCCAGGGAACAGGACAUAUCAUCUUCCUGCAAUUUGAUGAACAUUAUCCCUGCCUGCCCUUUGCCCUUACCCUGAAAAAAAAUUCAAGAGAAAAUGCUGUAUUAAUAUGUGGAAAGAGAGAUAGCAGAUGCCCCAGCAUUCUUACUGCUAGAGGUGAAGGUAUUUUGUUGGGUUUUAUUUGUUGUUGUUAGUUUGUUUGUCUGGGUUUUCAUUUGUAUGUUUUAAAAAACUGUGGGUAAAUUGCUGCAGAAGUUCCCAAAUGUCAAAUUGUGCAAAUGCUUGUUUCCAGGAUUAUUUCUUCUUUUGAUUGACCCAUAGCAGCAGUUGUGAUUUUAGUGUGUUAGGUCUGCCUAGUGAUUUGGAGUCCAGUCCUAUGCUUCAUCUGAUUCCACAGCUCCCACAGAUCUUGGCAAAAGCACCAGGCUCUUAGAUUUGAGCAGGGAGAAAUACUAGUGUUUCCUCAUUCAUUGUGCACCCAGAAGAAAAUUCUCCUGUGACUGUACACUUGUGACAGUGACUUUUAUAUUCUAACAGGGAUCUGUUGAUUCUGAUCUCACUUGUAUGUCUUAAAGUGAUGAGGACGCUUAGUUGUCUCAACAUUCAUAAAUUUGAAUUAGAUUGGAGCUGUCUUGCUGAGCCAGUUUGUGGUUUCUAAGGGGUGUCUUGUCUCUAGUGUAGGCGUAUACUGAGGAAACUGUUCAGACCAGACACUGCAUUUGUGAGUAGGGCUGGGGUGGUCAGGCUGUGUGUAAUGUUUCUUGUUUAUACGGUGAUAGGGCAAAGGAGCAUUUUGGCAGAACAAAAAUUUUAGCCUUCAGGGACUAAUGAAGAUAUUUUAACUAAGGAAUUUGUGCUAGGUAGGGUUUUUUAAUUUACAGAUUUUUUUUUUUUUUUUAGAAUAAGCUCAUAUUUGGAACCCCCAAAUCACAUGGCAUUUUGGAAAAAUCUUUCUCAAAGUCUUUUAAAAGAUUAUUGAAAAUGGUAAAGCAAAUUUUUUUCAAAAAAUCUUUCUGAACUAGCAAGUGCUUUAUAGAUCAUGCAGGGACUAAAAGUUCCCCAGUAGCUUUGUGUAAGCCAAGUUUUCUUUUAUUUUUUAGUUAAGAAAAAAAAAAAGGAAAUUGAAAAAGUACCAGACUUUUUGAAAACAGUGUAUUACUCAUGUAGUUCCAAAUUCUGGUGAGGUCACCAAAAGUUCUCAAAAAGAAGGAAGUGUAAAAUCACACCAGAGACUUAACGGAAUAAGGUGAACGUUUUUAUAUGUACCAUGGUACCUACAAAGGGAAGACUUGAAGACAGCACUCCAUUUUAGGGUACCUUUUAACACUCCAUAAAAGUGCUAAAGAAUGUAAAUCCUGUAUUCUUUCUGUAAAUUGGAAAACACUUAUCCAUGGGUACAAAGGGAGACCAGGUGGGUUGGCAUUCUUGAGUUGGGCUAUCUCAUCAUGGUAAUUUUUCCUUUUGUAACUCCUCAGCAACUGAGUUGUAUCAGCAAGUUCCUUCCCAUAAUUUACAGGCUUCAAAGUAUUAGUUGUUCUAUUUCAAGUGCUUAUCUGCAUAUGUGUUUUACAUAUAUCUCCUACAAAAUUAUCAUGAAUAAAAAACUGAACAAGAACCCAGGAAGUGUCACACCCUAAAUAUUACAUCAUCUAAUGAGCAUGGUAGAAAUAAAUAUAUCUGUUGUCUGUAAAAGUUUAAAUAAUCACUUUUCAACUUUAUAUACAUGUAAAAAAAUUAAAUGUAAUCAUUGUAGGUGUUUGAAAUUAAUUUGGUUUAAUUUAAGAAGAACAUGAGCAAAGAGCAUGUUACAUAAAACUUAGGAAAGAAAAGCAGAAGGAGCAUUACUGCUAUAUGAUAAACUCAUGAGCCUUCUGCAGUGGUGUGCCAAUUUAUACUGGCUUGGGAUUCCCACAGGCUUUCUUGCACUUCACCUGAAGCCCCUUUGCUCUGUGCUGUCCUCAAUUUCUUCUUGCUAAUCGGGGUUUUAGUCCCUUGACUCCAAGCCUGUUGUUAUCUUCUGGAUAAAUUAGAAGACUUGACAGUUUUCUUCAGUGUUUUCUGACACAUAAAAUUGGCCAGAUGAUGCUGAGAUGCUGUGUCUUGUAGCACAGGUGCUCUAAAGAGGUCCUCUUCAAAUAUAUCCUCAUGACUUAGUUUCCAGAAGUAUUGGCUGGCGCUAAAGCAGAGUGACCUCCUUGGGAAAUGUGAAGUUACUCUGCUACCUGAAAUAAUUUUUCUAAAUAUCUCUGCUCUUCUUAAGUAAUUUGUCCUGGAGGAGGUUGACAGUAAGUGCUUUACAGUGGGAAUAUGGUCAUGUGGCAAGAACAUGGCUUUCUGCUUUAAUUUUGGUAUUUUUGUAGAUGAACAGAGAAAGGAGAUUGAAAACUGCAGUAAAACAAGCAGUGAGAUAAUUCCAUUGUAAAACCUGUGGAAAAAUUUUUCUUAGGGGAUUUUUGCUUAAAGCAUCAGAAUACAAGAGAGCAGAAUGAAGGACAGCACAUAUAACAAAAGUAAAUCAGAAGAACUAUAUAGUAAGUAUAAACUGGACUUAGAGUAAGCAUCUAUAGAUGUAUUUUAUACAUAUCCAGAUACAUCUGUGCUAUAGAUGUGUCUUUCUUUCUGUAACAUUUGGGUACUUUACAUUUUGAUGCAGAAAUCAUCACAUUGUGCCAGUGAGAUAGGAGAGAUUUCUAUUGUGCAGAGGAGAAGCUGGAGCAAAAAGAAAUGAGAUGACUUAAGAUAAUACAGAAAACUAGUAGCAUUGCAAGGAAAUGAAACCAAAUCUUUUGCAGGCUAAGUCUCUGGAAAAUGAUGUCAACUUUUUCCUUCUCAGGUGCUGACACUAAUUCUAUCCUGUAAUACUUGAAUCAAACAUAUCUUAUUUCCCAUAUUUAAUAAACUGUCUUGUGUUUCUUUAUGACAACCAUCAGAUUUAAGUGAUAUUUUUUCUUUCAUUUUGGACCUCUUCUUAGUGAAUUAAUGCUUAUUAAUUAUUGAUUUCAAGCCAACUGGCAGCCAGGGUGUGUCCUCAAACAUGUAACCUUAGCUUUCAGUAAAAUAAAAGACAGGAAAGAGCCCAGUGUUUUGUCUUGACUCAUCUAACUCAGGCAGCAAGUUGACUGACAAGUCUUAGGAUUUUCAUGUUUUGUUGGUGUUUUCUGGAGAUAGAAAGCUUCUUUAAGGUGGGGGGAUCUGUUUGGCAUCUUUUCUUAUUCCCUGAGCACUGAGACACUGGAAUUGUUUUGAAAGUUUGUCUUUGGAAGCAAAGAAGUUUUUGUAAGUACUAGAAAUCACAGACUAGCACGUUUCCUGUUUCCAGUUAACUUUGUGAGCCAUUUAAUAGAAUUGGUCUGGAAUGCCCAGCAUAUUUUAAGAGUGGCUGCAAAAUGGCUUUUAAAGGACAAACUGUUGUCCUCAUUGUGAGGUUGCCAGAGCUAGACUAGUGCCAGCCACUCUCUGACCCAGCCACUAGUCUGGCAGUCUGUGCUCGGUGAGGAGUACGAGCAUUGGCUGGACACUGUUCCUUCCUUUGGCUGCUCUCACAGUGCUGUCCCUUAGAAGGAAGAGGAUCCUGAGUUUGGUCCUUGGCAAGAUUUAGAUACUACCAGAAGACUUCAGAGCUGCACUAGGAAGACAAGUGGUGGAGUUUGUACAAAAGAAAUUGACCGAGUUGAAACCAUGGAAUCAGUCAUGCCUACAGUUUACGGAAUUUUGUAAAAUAUAUUUUGUACAGCAGAAAGAGCUGGUCUUCUGAAAUCCUGUAGUACAUUGGUCAUGAUUUUUGAAAACCCAUGACUGUGGUAAGGAUUAAUCUCACCAGGCAAACUCAAGUCGAGAUUUUUGGUUUUAUUGUACUGUGUCUUUAUUAUUUUCUGUUAAGAAAUCCUCCUAAAUUUUGAGAGGCGAGUUCUCUGCUUCCAUUGCCCUCUGAAGGUGUUUUGCAUUCUUUUAUGAAGCAGCUCUGUAAGAUAACUGAUGUUUUACAUGGUACUUUUGUGGUCAGUCAUGACCCCACAGCAGAAAGGGGAGAUUUUUUUUUCCAAUUGAACAAAACUGCAGUAGGAGGCUGUUUCAAAUGUCUGUUAUGUAGACCCUGAUAUUUAUGAAAUUAUACAUGCAAAUAUUUUCAGUAAUCUGGACUGUGUUUCUUUGAGGUGAGGUGUCACUUUGGAGAAGUGGCCUUUGCUUUGUGCUGAAAAGCUUAUGAAAAUUUUUCAUGAGAAGCUGCUUUUGUCUGCAGUUGUAGCACAUAAUUCUCUUGAGGUAUUCUGAAUGUGUGUUGAGAAUGUUACCUCCUUGUGACUAUGUGAAUAUCUCAAGUUUCAACUUGAAACAAGUAUUUCCUUGUACAAAUGUAAAAAUACUAAACCCCUUUUGUUAAAAAGAAAAAAAAUAAAAAGAAUUCGCCAUGUGCUAUUUUUUAUUCUAACACUGUUUAUAUUAUCUUGGGACUUUUGUCUGUUUGGAGCUGGCAAUACUGCAACAAGUAAAGACUGCUCCAGGUAAAAAAUUUUGGCUAAUCAGUGCAUAGCACAGGAAUAAAUGGUGCAUUUUGGCAUCUUGUAAGAUUUUGAAUUAGUGCUGCAACAAUGAGGAACCAGUGAAAUGUCGACUUGCAGCAGCUGACCCUAAUUUUGCCAUGCUUGAGGAAAUAAUUUCUAAACAAAUUGUAAUAUGUUGAAAAUCAAAGAAAAUAACUAAUGACUUUCUAGCUGAAUUUUUACAUUUUCCAGAGUCUUUAUGGAUGUACAGAUGAUAGUAUUCUUUUGAUGUUACCUAUGAGGGACGAGAAGAAUGUCAUGGCAAUUCAGCUGUUUAAUAAAAAGUAGGUGUGUUGUCUAAGCUGUAGUCAAUACAGAGAGAUGCCUCCAGAGGAUGAGACACCUUCUGUGUCUGUUUUAAGGUGAUGAAUUGUUAUGUACAGCUACUUCUCUCUUCUCAUUGACUGAACAGGAGGCACAGACAAGGAAUUUGGGCAAGACAGAGAACUGACAGUGAUGCCUGUUUUGACAAGAACUGGUAAUCAUCAAAUGCUGAGGCACACUAGUACAUGGGCAUCCUGAGGAAGGACAAAGCCAGAAAAAAAGCUGGUAAAUCCACAGGAAUAAAUAGGAAGCAAAUGGUAACUUUGGGAGUGCAGGAAAGCCAGUUCUGAGGGGUUCUGCACCACAGGCUCUUGCAGUGUCUUCUGCUUUUAUCACAUGCCAUUAUGAACUCAGUAUCAAAACAGAGCAAGAAACUGGACAGAGUUAAGAAACCACAAGAGGGAAUAUCAAGGACAGGACAACGUGUCUGACAAAAAUUGCAUGGCUUGAACAAGGUGCUGGAGCAAUGAUUGGAGGGAAUAGGACAUUAUGGCAGCCAAGGAAUAUCCAAAGCAUUUAAGAAGAAAGCAAAGGAAUGGAGUAUGCCAUCUUCAAAGAUGUAUUCAAAGCUAUAUUUUCAGAAGUGGAGAGUUUUAGUUGACUGUAAGGGAAAUUUGAUAAAAGCACAAGGAAUGAGCCUGCCAAGCAAGGGAAGGAAAAGCUCCUUCACCUGAGAGUCUGGGAAGUUCAGAGGAUAAAAUAUACUGUCAAUGAUGAACUCUAUGUCCAGGAGGUUAGCUGAUAUUUAUCUUCUGCAGCUCCUGUGCUUCUUGAGUGAUUCAGAUCCUUUCCAGCUUACACGCUUCACCAGAUGCAUUGAAACCCUUUGGAUGCAUAGGAUAGGUAGUAUUUGGCUGCAUGUUCUUGGCUAUUUUAAGUUUCUAAGGACGUGGUUCCACAUUUGGUGGUCUUGUGUGGAAAAGAAGCUUUAGAAUAAUAAUGCCCGGUGUAAAUCAUUCUUUUUUGUAAAUGUUUUGCAAGUAUAUGCCUCAAAACCAGGCAGCUGAUUUGUAUUUCGUUAGAAAGAGCAAAAUUUCAAUAGAAAGCUGUACCAGCAAAAUGCUUAUCAAUCAGCAAUUGCAAGUUAAGACUUUAAAAAAUGUUGAGAAUUAGAAUUUUACAGAAAUAAAAUUUUUGCUCUGGGAUAACAGCAAAUUAAAGGGUCAGGAGACUUAUUUUGAGGUCCUAAUACAUACUCAGAAAAUUAAUUUUAAAUUAUCUUUAUUUUCAAUUGCAGUUGAAAAACUUUUAAAAGAUACAUUUAUCUGUUUA